rnacentral:lncRNA from 1 species
UGGUCCAAGUACUUGGAAGGCUGAGGGAAGAGGAUUGCUAUGAGUCUAAGGCCAGCCUACCCUCCACAGUGAGCUCCAGGCCAGCCAGAACUACAUAGCAGUCCCUGUCAGAACAGUAAAAAACAAGAGUCUUAGCUUCCCUCUGUGUUUCUGGGAUUAAAUAUCCUGACGGGCCAGGCAGUGAUCACACACGCCUUUACCUUUAAUCCCAAUACUCAGGAGACAGAAGCAGGGGGAUUUCUGAGUUUGAGGCCAGCCUGUUCUACAGAGAGAGUUCUAGGACAGCCAGGGCUACACAGAGAAACCCUGUGUCAAAAAACCAAACCAAGACAAAACAAAAACAAACAAACAAAACCAAAACAAAAAGCAGCCCAAGGAGGAAGGGUUUAUUUCAGUCCACAGUCCAUAAAUGUGUGGAAGUCCCAGCUGCAGGAGCUGGAAAUCACAGGUCACAUCGCAUCUGUGUCAGGAAGCAGAAAGCAGUCAAUGAACGAAUGCUGCAGCCCAUCCGCUCUCCGCUCUUAUCCAGCCCAAGGUCCCUGAGCCCAGAGAAGGAAGCCACCCACUGAGGAGGGCUUCCCAACUAAUGUAAUUAAGAAAUCUCUCACAACCAGGUCUGCUGGUGCACACCUUUAAUUCCAGCAUUUGAUGCGCAGAGGCAGGCAGACAUUUGAGAGUUCAAGGCCAACUUGGUCUUCAUGUGAGAGUCAGGCCAACUAGAACCAUAUAGUGAGACCCUGUCUUUAAAAAGAAAGCAAGCUUUAACAGACACUCUCUGGCCUCUCUCUCAGGUGAUGCUAGGUGGUGUCAAAUUGAUGAUUAAAAGUAACCAUCCCUACUCCACCCCUUAUCAACCUGUCAUGCCACCAUAUCUUUUGUCCAGAUAAGCUCAAAGGUCACCUUCUAAUACAAAAUACACCAAGCAAAGUUCUAGAGUUCAAUCGUUUAAUAUCAUAAUUAUUAACAGUAAAAGUCCAAAGUCUCCCGAGUUCCGAUAAAGCACCAUUUCCGUCCUCACAAGAUUACACUUUGCUGCCCCUCAGCGAAAGAACCAAGAUAUAGGGACAGUCCGAGCACAGCAAAUGCACAGGGUGUAAGGCAGGCACAAAGGCCUAAAGCUCUGUGCUCUGGAUGUGGGCCGUGUAAUAUAAACACCUGGGCUCUGAAAAGGCUUCUGUUGCCUGCCACCUCCAUCUCCUCUGCCCUUGGCACACUCAGCGUCUCUCCUUAGCACACGGUGCCGUGGUCCUGGCAUCUCCAGUAUUCUGGGGUUACCAAUGCAGCCUUAGGCUUUAACUUUAUGGCUUCACACAAUAGCUUCUUAGGGCCCAUCCCCAAAUCUUGCAGCUUUUGUGCCUUUGAAACCAGUAACACUUGGACAACAGACGUAGCCCAGUAAGCACCCUUGGAUCACAGCUGCAUCAUCCUAUGUGUGCUGACCCCAAGGAAAUGCUUUCUUAUCUCC